rnacentral:rRNA from 1 species
AGUGAACGCUGGCGGUAGGCCUAACACAUGCAAGUCGAACGGCAGCACAGUAAGAGCUUGCUCUUACGGGUGGCGAGUGGCAGACGGGUGCGGAAUACAUCGGAAUCUCCUUUUUCGUGGGGGAUAACGUCGGGAAACUCACGCUAAUACCGCAUACGACCUACGGGUGAAAGCAGGGGCUCUUCGGACCUUGCGCGAUUGAAUGAGCCGAUGUCGGAUUAGUUAGUUGGCGGGGUAAAGGCCCACUAAGGCGACGCUCCGUAGCUGGUCUGAGAGGAUGAUCAGAGACACUGGGACAGGAAGACGGGCCAGACUCCGACGGAGAGCAGGAGUGGGCAAUAAUGGGCAAUAGGCGUAAGCCUGAUCCAGCCAUACCGCGUGGGUGGAGAAGGCCAUCGGGUUUUAAAGUCAUUUUGUUAGGAAAGAAAAGCAGCAUGUUAAUACCCCGCAAUUCUGACGGUACCCGAAGAAUAAGCACCGGCUAACUUCGUG